UGCAAGUCGAACGAACUCUGGUAUUGAUUGGUGCUUGCAUCAUGAUUUACAUUUGAGUGAGUGGCGAACUGGUGAGUAACACGUGGGAAACCUGCCCAGAAGCGGGGGAUAACACCUGGAAACAGAUGCUAAUACCGCAUAACAACUUGGACCGCAUGGUCCGAGUUUGAAAGAUGGCUUCGGCUAUCACUUUUGGAUGGUCCCGCGGCGUAUUAGCUAGAUGGUGGGGUAACGGCUCACCAUGGCAAUGAUACGUAGCCGACCUGAGAGGGUAAUCGGCCACAUUGGGACUGAGACACGGCCCAAACUCCUACGGGAGGCAGCAGUAGGGAAUCUUCCACAAUGGACGAAAGUCUGAUGGAGCAACGCCGCGUGAGUGAAGAAGGGUUUCGGCUCGUAAAACUCUGUUGUUAAAGAAGAACAUAUCUGAGAGUAACUGUUCAGGUAUUGACGGUAUUUAACCAGAAAGCCACGGCUAACUACGUGCCAGCAGCCGCGGUAAUACGUAGGUGGCAAGCGUUGUCCGGAUUUAUUGGGCGUAAAGCGAGCGCAGGCGGUUUUUUAAGUCUGAUGUGAAAGCCUUCGGCUCAACCGAAGAAGUGCAUCGGAAACUGGGAAACUUGAGUGCAGAAGAGGACAGUGGAACUCCAUGUGUAGCGGUGAAAUGCGUAGAUAUAUGGAAGAACACCAGUGGCGAAGGCGGCUGUCUGGUCUGUAACUGACGCUGAGGCUCGAAAGUAUGGGUAGCAAACAGGAUUAGAUACCCUGGUAGUCCAUACCGUAAACGAUGAAUGCUAAGUGUUGGAGGGUUUCCGCCCUUCAGUGCUGCAGCUAACGCAUUAAGCAUUCCGCCUGGGGAGUACGGCCGCAAGGCUGAAACUCAAAGGAAUUGACGGGGGCCCGCACAAGCGGUGGAGCAUGUGGUUUAAUUCGAAGCUACGCGAAGAACCUUACCAGGUCUUGACAUACUAUGCAAAUCUAAGAGAUUAGACGUUCCCUUCGGGGACAUGGAUACAGGUGGUGCAUGGUUGUCGUCAGCUCGUGUCGUGAGAUGUUGGGUUAAGUCCCGCAACGAGCGCAACCCUUAUUAUCAGUUGCCAGCAUUAAGUUGGGCACUCUGGUGAGACUGCCGGUGACAAACCGGAGGAAGGUGGGGAUGACGUCAAAUCAUCAUGCCCCUUAUGACCUGGGCUACACACGUGCUACAAUGGAUGGUACAACGAGUUGCGAACUCGCGAGAGUAAGCUAAUCUCUUAAAGCCAUUCUCAGUUCGGAUUGUAGGCUGCAACUCGCCUACAUGAAGUCGGAAUCGCUAGUAAUCGCGGAUCAGCAUGCCGCGGUGAAUACGUUCCCGGGCCUUGUACACACCGCCCGUCACACCAGGGAGAGUUUGUAACACCCAAAGUCGGUGGGGUAACCUUUUAGGAA
rnacentral:rRNA from 1 species